UGCAUCUUGCAAAUCGACACC
rnacentral:piRNA from 1 species